GGAAACGAGGUGUGUGCCUAAUUAAGUUUUGGAGGGGAGUGGCCAAUCGGAGAGGGCGCUCAGACUAUAAGGGUUACCCUGGCACCAAUGUUCUAGGCUCCUUGUCGGCGGUCACCUUAAUUGCUGGAUCUCCUGUUCGUCUGCGGACAUUUUACCUUGGUCCCGGCGCCCAGCCUUAGAUCGGCAGGAAGUGGCUGCUGGUACGCGGCGGUGCUCCAAGCUUACGGUGCUGGGAUCGACUGAUUACUCUUUUUAUGGUUUUAUUGUGUAAUAAAAGUGUGUGUGUUUGGAACAA